UACAGAGGGUGCGAGCGUUAAUCGGAAUUACUGGGCGUAAAGCGCACGUAGUCGGCUUUGCAAGUCGGGUGUGAAAUCCCCGGGCUCAACCUGGGGAACUGCAUCCGAGACUGCAUUGCUAGAGUAUGGGAGAGGGAAGCGGAAUUUCUGGUGUAGCAGUGAAAUGCGUAGAUAUCAGAAGGAACAUCCAGGUGGCGAAGGCGGGCUUCCUGGGACCAAGU
rnacentral:rRNA from 1 species